rnacentral:rRNA from 1 species
UACGUAGGGGGCGAGCGUUGUCCGGAGUACUGGGCGUAAAGCGCACGCAGGCGGUCUGCUAAGUUUGGAGUGACAGUUGGUGGCUUAACUGCCAAAGUGCUUCGAAAACUGACAGACUUGAGGGCUUCAGAGGGACACGGAAUUCCGGGUGGAGUGGUGAAAUGCGUAGAGAUCCGGAGGAACACCAGUGGCGAAGGCGAGUCCCUGGACACUUCCUGACACUGAGGCACGAAAGCUAGGGGAGCAAACAGG